AUAGCGGUGUUCGGAUCUACGGAU
rnacentral:siRNA from 1 species